GUUUGCCUUUGUGCUGCCAUGCUUCCUGUCAUGAUGUUAAUGGAUAAACCUCAGAACUGACCACUCCUAAGUAUUUGACUGACACUUGGCACAGUUGGACUUUCUUUUUGGAUAAUUGUGGCCUCUAUCAGAUUUACCAGAGGGAGCUACCUUGCUGAGAAAAGCAGCAAUCGUCCAUGGAGGCCUCCGUUGCCUUAACCCAGCAGCUGGUGGAAGUAGAAGCAGACACCCACAGCUAAACACUGAACUGA